rfam:Erinaceus europaeus unplaced genomic scaffold scaffold00023, whole genome shotgun sequence
AUCACUUCUCGGCCUUUUGGCUAAGAUCAAGUAUAGUAUCUGUUCUUUUUUUUUUCUAAAUAUUUUUUAAAUUAUCUUUAUUUUUAUUUAUUUAUUGGAUAGAGACAGCCAGAAAUCAAGAGGGAAGGGGGAGAUAGAGAGGGAGAGAGACAGAGAGACACCUGCAGCUCUGCCUCACCACUU